rnacentral:rRNA from 1 species
CCUACGGGAGGCAGCAGUGGGGAAUAUUGCACAAUGGGGGAAACCCUGAUGCAGCGACGCCGCGUGAGUGAAGAAGCGUUUCGGCGCGUAAAGCUCUGUCAGCGGGGAAGAAACACGGUUCGCGAGAGCCGCGGACGGUACCCGACCAAGAAGCCCCGGCUAACUACGUGCCAGCAGCCGCGGUAAUACGUAGGGGGGCAAGCGUUAUCCGGAUUCACUGGGGGUAAAGGGAGCGUAGACGGCGAGACAAGUCUGGAGUGAAUGGCCGGGGCCCAACCCCGGGACUGCUCUGGAAACUGCCUGGCUGGAGUACAGGAGAGGUAAGUGGAAUUCCUAGUGUAGCGGUGAAAUGCGUAGAUAUUAGGAGGAACACCAGUGGCGAAGGCGGCUUACUGGACUGUAACUGACGUUGAGGCUCGAAAGCGUGGGGAGCAAACAGGAUUAGAUACCCCAGUAGUC